GUGGUCUGAAAAUCAACAGUAAAAUCAGAGUUUGGUUUGAAUGUGAUAACAGCAGCAGUAUCGCUAAGGUUAAACAAGACCUCCCAUUUUUAGUCAGGCAAAAACACAAAGUCUGUUUUGCAUUAGAGGAGUUGCUCCUACCCCUUCCUGUGGGACUCAAGAACUAACUGGAUUUUUUUCUGGCAGGUAGUGCUGAAGAAGUCACACCACUACGAAUGUUUCUAAAGUUUAAUGUGAUACACUGCUUUCAAAAUUCCACAGCAUCUGAUUUCUCUUCAGAAUCUAUGAAAUGACAGCAAUGUGUUAUCUUUCCCAACAAAUGAGGAGGAAAAAUGUUGUACAUUUUUCAUAUAAAUGCUUACUUUGAGUGCUGGUAUUGCUAUCGUCAGUCAAAAUCUACAUUCCUACUAAUGACAGCAUCGGAAUGUUACUAAAAUAACAUCUCUUAGGAGAAGGGAUAACAGUUCAGCAGUUAUGCUGAGCUGUUCAAUACUUUAAUGGGUGAGCUCAUAUUCUGGUGUCACCAGAUCAGUGUCUUGCUGCCUCUUCAUCUCAGUGGGAAUGCUUUCCCGGUUGAACACUGAUGCAGUUGCCACUUUAUUUCACAAACCAAGUCUGAAUUUAGCUUGUUGGAAUACUUUGAGGCACAGUUUAAUGGUAGCUGAGAGUGCAACUGAUUUUUGCUACAUGUUACAUUUUAUGCUAAGUAUGCCAUGCCCACUGUUUAUGAAGACAUACUGAAAGCAUUCAGGCAAAAUACAGAAACUCAGUGCAAGAAGAAAGCAAGAACAGAUCAGUGCUUUAUCUGAAAUGGCCCAGAAGAAGCCUAAGUGGGAAAAGAGAUGGAUUUAAAAAAUGCAAGAAGCAGUAGCAAAGGAUUUAAAUCAGGGGGACACCAGGAGAUGGAAGGAGGAGAAACUACAUCUGCUGGUCAGACAGAACAGAUUUGCUGCAGAACUGACAAUAACCACCCUUCUGCCCUCAUAAAAGUUAGAAAGAUUACUCCAUGGCAAGAGGGAACAUGUCUUCCUGUCUAUCCUCCUCAGGAAAUGCUCUCACUGUGAGGACCAUUAUCAGACUCCUGACUCUGCCACCUGUGCUUUUCUGGACGGAACAUUACUUGAAGAAAUUAUUAUUAUCAUCGUCUUCACAUAGUUAAACAAUAAUGAAAGAGUUAAUUAUGACAUCAAAUGUGUAACUACAGAAAGAAGAAAAGAAGCAAUAUUGAUGGUCAUACAUGCAGGAUUGCACUAGAGGCAAGUGACAAGAAGCAUCUGUUACAUGUUCUGGGUUCAUAGUUCUUAGAAACUGAAGUAAAGAAACUCUUAAGACCUAAGUGAAAACAUAGUAAUCUGCAUGAGAAGCUGACUGACUGCUAAGAGAAGCUUAUCUUCCCAUGUACUAAUGAAAUAUUGAUGUGAGGACCGAAACAUUGUCAGAGUUUGUACAUGUAAUUCCUCAAAGAAGAACAAUAAUUUAAUUAACUGUAGUUUAAUUGCAGCUGUGUUAAAGAUGUAUACUCAUAAAGAAUGAAUCAGAAAAAUGGUCAUAGACCGACUGACUGUUCCCUGUCCCUGGUAACUACAAGGCACAAGAGAAUGUUAAGAAAUCUGAAAGAAAUAUUAACCUUCACAGUUGGAAUUUCUUUGGUAGGCACAGUUUCAACAGGAACAAAGCAUGUGUAACAAUAAAACAUCCUUGAACUGCUGCAUCGAGGGCAUUUUGAUCUCCCACUCUUUUUUGCCUUUUCAAGUACUUCCUGCGAUGCUAAUUGUAAUUGUUGAAGUGGAUUGUCUUGAAAUGAUGGUGGAGUCUGCAGUUCUACACUUCCCAAACACUCGGUAUUUCCUUUUGGUUCUUCAGAGUUUUCUUCAUUUAGAAGUGUAGAUGAAUUUAAAGACAUGGUUAGCUGAAAUGCAAUGUUAUAGCUGUUAAAUAAUCCAGUAUACUCUAUUCUCUAUGAUAUUUAGCAAAAUAUACACAUCAGAGGCACUUCCAACAAGAAAAAGGAAAUAAUCUCAUUCAAUUGUUAUAGUGUGAAGAACUCCAAACACAUCUCGGGACAGCAGAAGGAACCUGAAAUCUCUAUCCCCAGUGCACUAUGUUAUCCUACUCCUACUCACACAGAUUCUGUCUGGUGGUGGCAUCAGGAUCUAAAAGCUUAUGAACACUGGCAGGCACUGUUACCUGGAUAAGCAGUCCCAUUACUCUUCAUCAUGACUAAUUACAAUUAAUCGAAUCUCUACAGAGGAGAAAUCUCUAAAUGAAAAUUUAAUUGUGCAAACUGAGAUCUUU